rnacentral:rRNA from 1 species
UUUCUUUGGAGAGUUUGAUCCUGGCUCAGGACGAACGCUGGCGGCGUGCCUAAUACAUGCAAGUCGAGCGGACCGGGCGGGAGCUUG